rnacentral:rRNA from 1 species
UACGUAGGUGGCAAGCGUUAUCCGGAUUUAUUGGGCGUAAAGGGAACGCAGGCGGUCUUUUAAGUCUGAUGUGAAAGCCUUCGGCUUAACCGGAGUAGUGCAUUGGAAACUGGGAGACUUGAGUGCAGAAGAGGAGAGUGGAACUCCAUGUGUAGCGGUGAAAUGCGUAGAUAUAUGGAAGAACACCAGUGGCGAAAGCGGCUCUCUGGUCUGUAACUGACGCUGAGGUGCGAAAGCGUGGGUAGCAAACAGG